ACUCCUACGGGAGGCAGCAGUAGGGAAUCUUCGGCAAUGGACGAAAGUCUGACCGAGCAACGCCGCGUGAGUGAAGAAGGUUUUCGGAUCGUAAAACUCUGUUGUUAGAGAAGAACAAGGAUGAGAGUAACAGUCAUCCAUGAC
rnacentral:rRNA from 1 species